ACAGAAUCUAGUUCCUUCGAUACCAAUGUAAUCUAGUAAUAUGAUAUUUUUCAGAAAAAUAUCAUAUUACUAGAUUACAUUGGUAUCGAAGGAACUAGAUUCUGUAAU